AAAAAUAAUGCAAACCUAGGGGGAGAAUAAGGAGAUGUCAAAGAACGUAAUGGAGGGAAGAAAGAAGAUGGAGCAAUAACGAUGCUUCCAUUUUCUUAGGCUUUUAACACUUUGGGUGGCAAUUGCCAAAGAUGAGGUUGCCAAACUUUGUAAUGAUGAGUCUACCUGCCAUCAUUACCAUUCAAGAACCCAAAAGAUCACUCCAUUUCUCUCUCCAACCUAGCCCACCAUUUCACUACUUUGGUACAUACUUCUACUUCUCCUUCUAUUUAAAGGACCUCACCUUCCCCCUUCUUCUCCCCUCAAUCCACCGCCAUCAAGUUUUGCAUUAACUUCACCUCAUCACCAAUCAUUAUAGUAUCUUCCUCUCCCAUACACACUUGGUUGAUCCCUCUCGAGUCUCGACCUCUACUAAUUAGAGAAGCUCAAUUAAUAAUCACACAAUGUGUAGUGCAAAAGAUUGGCUUCAGUCUCCUCCGACUCCUUGCAAUGGCCAACGACCCUCAAGGAAAUCCAAAGUUCGAGUCCAUUGCCUCAUCGUAAGGAGAAGGUACGAAGGAACGAAGACGGAGGACAUGGAGCUAAAGAACCUGAAGCUGUACUUAGAGAACAGAAGUAUUUUAGAACAGAAUGAACAGCUAAGGCAAAAAGCUAUUCGCCUUCGACAAGAAAACCUAGCUCUCCUUUCUGAGUUUCAGAAGAGAUUCAAAUCCUCUUAGCUCAUGGCACCAAAAUGAUCAAGGACAUAGCAAGAAAAUCGUAGUCUAAUUUUCAUGAUAUAACUAUUGUAUGCUAGACUGCUAGCAUUCCCAAGUCCUAAUGUAAUAAUCAUUAGUAUUAUUUUUAAGAGUAGCUAGCUUAGGGGUGGACUAAAGAAUACUCAGAGAAUUUUUUCAUUGGCCAACUCAUCUCUUUGUAUCAUGAUCUAAGAUCCUGAACAUCUUAGGUGUAAAAUCUUUAGUUUGUACCAAAGAAAAAAAAUAUGUAAUAUACACAAGUAUUGUUAUAA